GACGAACGCUGGCGGCGUGCCUAAUACAUGCAAGUCGAACGCACAGUUUAUACCGUAGCUUGCUACACCAUAGACAGUGAGUUGCGAACGGGUGAGUAACGCGUAGGUAACCUGCCUGGUAGCGGGGGAUAACUAUUGGAAACGAUAGCUAAUAACGCAUAAUAUUAAUUAUUGCAUGAUAAUUAAUUGAAAGGUGCAAUUGCACCACUACUAGAUGGACCUGCGUUGUAUUAGCUAGUAGGUGAGGGAACGGCUAACCUAGGCGAUGAGACAUACCCGACCUGAGAGGGUGAUCAGCCGCACGGGGACUGGGACACGGCCCAGACCCCUACGGGAGGCAGCAGUAGGGAUCCUUCGGCAAUGGGCGGAAGUCAGACCGAGGAACGCCGCGUGAGUGUGGAGGGUUAUCGGAUCGUGAAGCUCUGUUGUAAGAGAAUAACGGGUGUGAUAGUGGAAAGUUCACACUGUGACGGUAUCUGACCAGAAAGGGACGGCUAACUACGUG
rnacentral:rRNA from 1 species